rnacentral:lncRNA from 1 species
AUCUCGGAUAACUCAUCUGCUCUUUUCUUUCCUUUAUCUUUCUCACUCAGAUCAGUAUCAGUUUUGAGUGCAGGUUCUUCUAUUGGGUUAGUCUCAAUACUAAUCUUUUCUUUCAAGUUCUCUUUUUGGUUAGCACUAGUACUAGCCUCACUCACUUGGUCUUGGUAUCAGUCUUUAAGAAUUCUAUCACUUUUAAGUUCAGAGAUUACUUUAUCAUUUUUAAAUUAGAGAUUUUUAGGUGGGACAUUGGAUUGUUAACUAAGUUCAGGUGGUUGGUGGGUGCGUGGGUUAUUUUCGAAAUUUAGUAUUAGUUGGCUUGGUAAUUGACCUAGUUCUCUCCUCAUGGAAGACUCAGCUAAUUGACCUAUUUGUGCUUCUAACCUAGUAAGGGAUUGCUGUUGGAUCAUUAUCAUUUGUUGAAGUUGGCUAAAUCUAUCAUCAGCUAGAAGGGUCUGUUAAGGAGAUAGGUAUGAUGGUUGAUUAUAAUAGGUGGCUGGAUAGGCUGACUAGACUGACCUCUAUUAUAGGCAUAAUUCUGAUAUUGAGACCUAUUUUGAAAAUUUUAUACAGAAAGAAUUUGGGUC